ACGCUGGCGGCAGGCCUAACACAUGCAAGUCGAGCGGAAACGAGUUAUCUGAACCUUCGGGGAACGUUAAGGGCGUCGAGCGGCGGACGGGUGAGUAAUGCCUAGGAAAUUGCCUUGAUGUGGGGGAUAACCAUUGGAAACGAUGGCUAAUACCGCAUAAUGCCUACGGGCCAAAGAGGGGGACCUUCGGGCCUCUCGCGUCAAGAUAUGCCUAGGUGGGAUUAGCUAGUUGGUGAGGUAAUGGCUCACCAAGGCGACGAUCCCUAGCUGGUCUGAGAGGAUGAUCAGCCACACUGGAACUGAGACACGGUCCAGACUCCUACGGGAGGCAGCAGUGGGGAAUAUUGCACAAUGGGCGAAAGCCUGAUGCAGCCAUGCCGCGUGUAUGAAGAAGGCCUUCGGGUUGUAAAGUACUUUCAGUUGUGAGGAAGGGGGUGUCGUUAAUAGCGGCAUCUCUUGACGUUAGCAACAGAAGAAGCACCGGCUAACUCCGUGCCAGCAGCCGCGGUAAUACGGAGGGUGCGAGCGUUAAUCGGAAUUACUGGGCGUAAAGCGCAUGCAGGUGGUUCAUUAAGUCAGAUGUGAAAGCCCGGGGCUCAACCUCGGAACUGCAUUUGAAACUGGUGAACUAGAGUACUGUAGAGGGGGGUAGAAUUUCAGGUGUAGCGGUGAAAUGCGUAGAGAUCUGAAGGAAUACCAGUGGCGAAGGCGGCCCCCUGGACA
rnacentral:rRNA from 1 species